rnacentral:rRNA from 1 species
GACGAACGCUAGCGGCAGGCUUAAUACAUGCAAGUCGUGGGGCAGCAGGGUUGUAGCAAUACAAUCGCUGGCGACCGGCAAACGGGUGCGUAACACGUACGCAACCUUCCCGUUACUGUGGCAUAGCCCAGGGAAACUUGGAUUAAUACCACAUAUUAUAUUGAGGGGGCAUCCCUUUGAUAUCAAAGCUUCGGCGGUAACGGAUGGGCGUGCGGUUGAUUAGGUAGUUGGCGGGGUAAAGGCCCACCAAGCCUACGAUCAAUAGCUGAUGUGAGAGCAUGAUCAGCCACACGGGCACUGAGACACGGGCCCGACUCCUACGGGAGGCAGCAGUAAGGAAUAUUGGGCAAUGGACGAAAGUCUGACCCAGCCAUGCCGCGUGAAGGAUUAAGGUCCUCUGGAUUGUAAACUUCUUUUCUCUGGGGCGAAAACCAGCUAUUCUUAGCUAUUUGACAGUACCAGAGGAAUAAGCACCGGCUAACUCCGUGCCAGCCGCCGCGGUAACAC